rnacentral:rRNA from 1 species
GAUGAACGCUGGCGGCGUGCUUAACACAUGCAAGUCGAGCGAAGUAAAUUAAGAGCUUGCUUUUGAUUUACUUAGCGGCGGACGGGUGAGUAACGUGUGGGUAACCUGCCUUUUACUGUGGAAUAAUCGUUGGAAACGACGACUAAUACCGCAUACGAUUUUCUGAAGGCAUCUUUGGGAAAGGAAAGGAAAUAUUCGGUAAAAGAUGGGCCCGCAUCUGAUUAGCUAGUUGGUGAGAUAAUAGCCCACCAAGGCAACGAUCAGUAGCCGACCUGAGAGGGUGACCGGCCACAUUGGGACUGAGACACGGCCCAA